GCUGGGCAUGGUGGCGCAUGCCUGUAAUCCCAGCUACUGAGGAGGCUGAGGCAGGAGAAUCGCUUGAACCCAGGAGGUGGAGGUUACAGUGAGCUGAGAUCAUGCCACUGUGCCCCAGCCUGGGCCACAGAGCAAGACUCUGUCUCAA
rnacentral:SRP_RNA from 2 species